rnacentral:rRNA from 1 species
UACGGAGGGUGCGAGCGUUGUCCGGAAUCACUGGGCGUAAAGGGCGCGUAGGCGGUCGGGUAAGUCUGAUGUGAAAUCUCACAGCUUAACUGUGAAACUGCAUUGGAUACUAUCCGGCUCGAGGAAUGGAGGGGAGACUGGAAUACUUGGUGUAGCAGUGAAAUGCGUAGAUAUCAAGUGGAACACCAGUGGCGAAGGCGAGUCUCUGGACAUUUCCUGACGCUGAGGCACGAAAGCCAGGGGAGCAAACGGG